rnacentral:misc_RNA from 1 species
AACGCACAUUGCGCCCCUCGGUAUUCCGUGGGGCAUGCCUGUUCGAGCGUCAUUUACCCCCUCAAGCCCAGCUUGGUAUUGGGUGCUUGUCCCGCCCCCGCGCGGUCGACUCACCUCAAAGUCAUUGGCAGCCCGCAUCCGCCGGCCGUGAGCGCAGCACAGACGCGCGCGCGGUCCCGGCGGAUCGGCUCUCCAGAAGCUUAUUUCAACCACAACUGACCUCGGAUCAGGUAGGGAUACCCGCUGAACUUAA